UGGGGAUUCGUCUAAUGGUAGGACAGCGGACUCUGAAUCCGUCAGUCGGGGUUCGAAUCCCUGAUCCCCAGCCA
rnacentral:tRNA from 1 species